CGGACGGGUGAGUAAUGUCUGGGAAACUGCCCGAUGGAGGGAGAUAACUACUGGAAACGGUAGCUAAUACCGCAUAACGUCGCAAGACCAAAGAGGGGGACCUUCGGGCCUCUUGCCAUCGGAUGUGCCCAGAUGGGAUUAGCUAGUAGGUGGGGUAACGGCUCACCUAGGCGACGAUCCCUAGCUGGUCUGAGAGGAUGACCAGCCACACUGGAACUGAGACACGGUCCAG
rnacentral:rRNA from 1 species